rnacentral:rRNA from 1 species
GACGAACCGUGCGAACGUUGUUCGGAAUCACUGGGCUUAAAGGGCGCGUAGGCGGUUCGCCAAGUCUGGGGUGAAAUCUUUCGGCUCAACCGGAAAAUUGCCUGGGAUACUGGCGGGCUCGAGGGAGGUAGGGGUUGCGGGAACUUCCAGUGGAGCGGUGAAAUGCGUUGAUAUUGGAAGGAACGCCAGUGGCGAAAGCGCGUAACUGGACCUCUUCUGACGCUGAGGCGCGAAAGCUAGGGGAGCAAACGGG